AUUGAACGCUGGCGGCAGGCUUAACACAUGCAAGUCGGGCGGGGUGAUGGUGCUUGCACUAUCACUUAGCGGCGGACGGGUGAGUAAUGCUUAGGAAUCUGCCUAUUAGUGGGGGACAACAUCUCGAAAGGGAUGCUAAUACCGCAUACGUCCUACGGGAGAAAGCAGGGGAUCACUUGUGACAUUGCGCUAAUAGAUGAGCCAAAGUCGGAUUAGCUAGUUGGUGGGGUAAAGGCCUACCAAGGCGACGAUCUGUAGCGGGUCAGGGAGGAUGAUCCGCCACACUGGGACUGAGACACGGCCCAGACUCCUACGGGAGGCAGCAGUGGGGAAUAUUGGACAAUGGGGGGAACCCUGAUCCAGCCAUGCCGCGUGUGUGAAGAAGGCCUUAUGGUUGUAAAGCACUUUAAGCGAGGAGGAGGCUCUUUUGGUUAAUACCCAAGAUGAGUGGACGUUACCCGCAGAAUAAGCACCGGCUAACUCUGUGCCAGCAGCCGCCGUAA
rnacentral:rRNA from 1 species